rnacentral:rRNA from 1 species
UACGUAGGGGGCAAGCGUUGUCCGGAUUUAUUGGGCGUAAAGAGCGUGUAGGCGGCCAAGCAGGUCCGCUGUGAAAACUCAGGGCUCAACCCGGAGACGCCAUCUGAUACUGCGGUGACUGGAGUCUGGUAGGGGAACACGGAAUUCCUGGUGUAGCGGUGAAAUGCGCAGAUAUCAGGAGGAACACCGAUGGCGAAGGCAGUGUUCUGGGCCAGUACUGACGCUGAGGAGCGAAAGCGUGGGGAGCAAACAGG